UCGAGAAUUUUUCACAAUGAGCGCAAGCUUGAUGGAGCGACGCCGCGUGGGGGAUGAAUGGCUUCGGCCCGUAAACCCCUGUCAUUCGGGAACAACCGCUUUGACCUAAUACGUCAAGGCCUGAUAGUACCGGAAGAGGAAGGGACGGCUAACUCUGUGCCAGCAGCCGCGGUAAUACAGAGGUCCCAAGCGUUGUUCGGAUUCACUGGGCGUAAAGGGUGCGUAGGCGGUCGGGUAAGUCUGAUGUGAAAUCUCCAGGCUCAACUUGGAAACUGCAUCGGAUACUAUCCGGCUUGAGGGUUUGAGGGGGGACUGGAAUUCUCGGUGUAGCAGUGAAAUGCGUAGAUAUCGAGAGGAACACCAGUGGCGAAGGCGAGUCCCUGGAAAACACCUGACGCUGAGGCACGAAAGCUAGGGGAGCAAACAGG
rnacentral:rRNA from 1 species